rfam:Grimontia sp. AD028 Contig49, whole genome shotgun sequence.
UCCCCCUUAGUUCAGUCGGUAGAACGGCGGACUGUUAAUCCGUAUGUCGCUGGUUCAAGUCCAGCAGGGGGAG